rnacentral:rRNA from 1 species
UUAUCCGGAAUCAUUGGGCGUAAAGCGCCUGUAGGUUGUUUAGUAAGUCUGUUGUUAAAGACCAGGGCUCAACCCUGGGAAAGCAAUGGAAACUACUAGACUUGAGUAUGGCAGGGGUAGAGGGAAUUUCUAGUGUAGCGGUGAAAUGCGUAGAUAUUAGAAAGAACACCGGCGGCGAAAGCGCUCUACUGGACCAUUACUGACACUCAGAGGCGAAAGCUAGGGGAGCAAAAGGGAUUAGAUACCCCUGUAGUCCUAGCCGUAAACGAUGGAUACUAGAUGUUGCGCAAUUUGUGCAGUAUCUUAGCUAACGCGUUAAGUAUCCCGCCUGGGGAGUACGCUCGCAAGGGUGAAACUCAAAGGAAUUGACGGGGGCCCGCACAAGCGGUGGAGCAUGUGGUUUAAUUCGAUGCAACGCGAAGAACCUUACCAGGGCUUGACAUACUACAAAUCUUUUCGAAACGAAAGAGUGCCUUCAGGAAUGUAGAUACAGGUGGUGCAUGGCUGUCGUCAGCUCGUGUCGUGAGAUGUUGGGUUAAGUCCCGCAACGAGCGCAACCCUCAUUUUAGUUGCCAAUUUAUUGGGAUUUCUAGAGAGACUGCCGGUGACAAACCGGAGGAAGGUGAGGAUGACGUCAAGUCAGCAUGCCCCUUAUGCCCUGGGCCACACACGUGCUACAAUGGCGAAGACAAAGAGUCGCAAACCUGCGAAGGCUAGCUAAUCUCGUAAACUUCGUCUAAGUUCGGAUUGCAGGCUGCAAC